GACGUCCUGCUACAACCAGGCGUCCGCCGGGUACUACGAGCAUUAGCUUGAAACCCAAAGGACCUGACGGUGCCUCAGACCCCCCUAGAGGAGCCUGUUCUAGAACCGAUAACCCCCGUUGAACCUCACCACUUCUAGCCACCCCAGCCUAUAUACCGCCGUCGUCAGCUUACCCUGUGAGGG
rnacentral:rRNA from 1 species